rnacentral:rRNA from 1 species
CCUACGGGAGGCAGCAGUGAGGAAUAUUGGUCAAUGGACGAGAGUCUGUACCAGCCAAGUAGCGUGAAGGAUGACUGCCCUAUGGGUUGUAAACUUCUUUUAUAUGGGAAUAAAAUGUUCCACGUGUGGGAUUUUGUAUGUACCAUAUGAAUAAGGAUCGGCUAACUCCGUGCCAGCAGCCGCGGUAAUACGGAGGAUCCGAGCGUUAUCCGGAUUUAUUGGGUUUAAAGGGAGCGUAGGUGGAUUGUUAAGUCAGUUGUGAAAGUUUGCGGCUCAACCGUAAAAUUGCAGUUGAUACUGGCAGUCUUGAGUACAGUAGAGGUGGGCGGAAUUCGUGGUGUAGCGGUGAAAUGCUUAGAUAUCACGAAGAACUCCGAGUGCGAAGGCAGCUCACUGGACUGCAACUGACACUGAGGCUCGAAAGUGUGGGUAUCAAACAGGAUUAGAUACCCUUGUAGUC